CACGUAGGCGGCUUGGUAUGUCGGGUGUGAAAUCCCCGGGCUCAACCUGGGAACUGCAUCCGAAACUGCCUUGCUAGAGUAUGGGAGAGGGAAGCGGAAUUUCCGGUGUAGCGGUGAAAUGCGUAGAUAUCGGAAGGAACAUCAGUGGCGAAGGCGGCUUCCUGGACCAAUACUGACGCUCAGGUGCGAAAGCGUGGGGAGCAAACAGGAUUAGAUACCCUGGUAGUCC
rnacentral:rRNA from 1 species